rnacentral:tRNA from 1 species
GGCGGCGUAGCUCAGCCUGGCAGAGCAAGCGGCUCAUACCCGCUAUGUCGUUGGUUCAAAUCCAACCGCCGUCA